GGAGAGAUGACCGAGAGGUUUAAGGUGCAGUUUUGGAAAAACUGUUUACUAGAAAUGGUAACUAGGGUUCGAAUCCCUAUCUCUCCG
rnacentral:tRNA from 1 species